rnacentral:lncRNA from 10 species
CUCUUUUCCUCCUGCUCUGGCCGCGUUAAGAUGUGGCUACUUCCCUUCGCGUUCUACCUCGAUUGAAAAUUUUCUGAGGCCUCCGUAGCCAUGCUUCCCGUACAGCUGUGGAACCGAUUUAAAAUUAUGGAAAUUCUUCAGGCAGAAAAUGGGCACAUAUGGUUAUCACAGAAAAGCUGUUUUAAAGCCAGUUUUAAGGUAUUAUUAUGCCGCUACCUUCAAGAAGUAAUUUGCGUGCUGUUUAUUGGAGCUGUGAAUUUAAUCAUCUCAAUCCCACGCUAUUACAGGAUGACUAUAAGAAGAUGUAUUGACAUUUCUUUGGACACAUAAUUUUGCCUCCAUUGUGUGUUGUUUUGCCAGAAUACUGAAGGCAGUGUUUGUAUGAUGGCACAUCCAAAUAAAAAGCAGGUCCUCCUUUUGGGACAGUGAUCCAUUUAA